CUUGCCCCUAGAACCAUUGCAGGUGUGGCAUUUCUGUCACUUGUGCACCAGUAGGUGACAGAGAGGAGAAAAGCUUUGUCUAUACUCAGUUUUAUGACCUAUGAACAUCUGAAUGAUUAGCAGCCUAACAUU